rnacentral:lncRNA from 1 species
CCUGUAGAUAAUUACCACAUUUUGCUGGGGUUACUAUAGACUUUUGAGAAAGAUCACUAGCUCCAUAAGGAAAUAGUGAAUGUAGUGGGAGGAUCCUCGAUGGGCCGUCAUCCCUUUAAGAAAGGGAAGAAGAAAAACAAAAAUAAAAAGCUACAACAUGCUGGGAGUCAAACCAAAAAGUCCAAGUCCAAGUCCGACCAAAGUUAGGCAG